rnacentral:rRNA from 1 species
AGCGAACGCUGGCGGUAGGCCUAACACAUGCAAGUCGAACGGCAGCACAGUAAGAGCUUGCUCUUACGGGUGGCGAGUGGCGGACGGGUGAGGAAUACAUCGGAAUCUACUUUUUCGUGGGGGAUAACGUAGGGAAACUUACGCUAAUACCGCAUACGACCUACGGGUGAAAGCAGGGGAUCUUCGGACCUUGCGCGAUUGAAUGAGCCGAUGUCGGAUUAGCUAGUUGGCGGGGGAAAGGCCCACCAAGGCGACGAUCCGUAGCUGGUCUGAGAGGAUGAUCAGCGACACUGGAACUGAGACACGGUCCAGACUCCUACGGGAGGCAGCAGUGGGGAAUAUUGGACAAUGGGCGCAAGCAUGAUCCAGCCAUACCGCGUGGGUGAAGAAGGCCUUCGGGUUGUAAAGCCCUUUUGUUGGGAAAGAAAAGCAGCAGGUUAAUACCCCGCUGUUCUGACGGUACCCAAAGAAUAAGCACCGGCUAACUUCGUG